ACACCAUCCUUGCUUCUUAAUUUACCAUUGUGAAGUUUACUUUAUUAACUCUCAGUAUUGUAAUCUGCUUUUGUGUAAUUUUAACGCCAUAAUUACUGAAACUACUGCAAGUUGGUUUUACAAUGGAUAAUAACACUCUUGAUUUGGCCUUGCAAGCCGUUGAACUAGAAGUCUCUGGACCUUCUCUUGAUGCUGUUCAUAAACCUUUUGACCCGGAAGAAUAUGGUUUAGAUCCUUCAUUCCGGUUGACCAAAUUUGCCGAAUUGAGAGGCUGAGGUUGCAAGGUUCCUCAGGAAACUCUGGAUAAACUUCUUGAGGGACUCAAUGACAAUUCAACUCAUCAUACUUCAUCUUCAUCUUCUUCUUUAUCACCCACUUCUACUCUAAAACAAACAAAACUUCCAAAAAUUGGUAUUGGUAUGGACAGUAGUGUAACACCAAUCAGACAUGGAAGUCUUCUGAUGGUUCAAACAGUUGAUUUCUUCUAUCCACUGAUAGAUGAUCCUUAUGUAAUGGGCAAAAUUGCUUGUGCCAACGUCCUCAGUGAUUUGUACGCUGAAGGUAUCUACGAAUGUGACAAUAUGCUCAUGAUUUUAGGAAUAAGUACUAAAAUGAGCGAAAAGGAACGAGAUACGGUUAUUCCUAUUAUGAUUAAAGGAUUUAGGGAUUGUGCAUAUGAGGCUGAUACUCGAGUGACUGGAGGUCAAACUGUUCAAAAUCCUUGGGUAACUGUUGGUGGAGUUGCUUCAACUGUUUGCAAACCAAAUGAGCUAAUAAUCCCCGAUAGUGCCGUUGCUGGCGAUGUCCUUGUGUUAACUAAGCCAUUAGGGACACAAGCUGCUGUUCAUUCAUAUCAAUGGUUGGAAUCUUAUCCUGAACGAUGGGAUAGAAUUAAGCUCGUUGUUUCGGACGAAGACGUAAGAAAAGCAUAUCUUCGAGCAAUGGACAGCAUGAGUAGAUUGAAUAGAGUUGGUGCACGUCUUAUGCAUAAAUAUAAUGCUCAUGGUGCUACCGAUGUAACAGGAUUCGGCAUUCUUGGUCAUGCUCAAAAUUUAGCGAAAAAUCAAAAAAAUGAAGUUUCCUUUGUUAUUCACAAUCUACCCAUCAUUGCUAAAAUGGCUGCAGUUGGUAGAGCUUGUAGCAGUAUGUUCCAAUUAUUACAAGGAUACUCUCCUGAAACCUCUGGUGGGUUGUUAAUUUGUUUACCACGAGAACAAGCGGCUGCUUUUUGUAAAGAUAUUGAAAAACAAGAAGGAUAUUCAGCUUGGAUUAUUGGCAUUGUAGAAAAAGGAAAUAGAACUGCUCGAAUAAUUGACAAACCUAGAGUUAUUGAAGUGCCUAGUAAAGAAAAAGAUGGUGAACUAUGGUAAAACAAAAAAAUGAAAAAAUUCAACAGAAACAUAUAUUCUGAUUACUAACGAAUUAAUUGUAUCUUUCAACUAAUAUUUUUCUUCAAUUUCUUUUUUUCUAAAUUUC